rnacentral:rRNA from 1 species
UACGUAGGGUCCGAGCGUUGUCCGGAAUUAUUGGGCGUAAAGAGCUCGUAGGCGGCUUGUCGCGUCGGCUGUGAAAACCUGGGGCUCAACCCCGGGCCUGCAGCCGAUACGGGCAAGCUAGAAUUCGGUAGGGGAGACUGGAAUCCCUGGUGUAGCGGUGAAAUGCGCAGAUAUCAGGAGGAACACCGGUGGCGAAGGCGGGUCUCUGGGCCGAUAUUGACGCUGAGGAGCGAAAGCGUGGGGAGCGAACAGG